rnacentral:rRNA from 1 species
UACGUAGGGUGCAAGCGUUGUCCGGAAUUAUUGGGCGUAAAGAGCUCGUAGGUGGCCUGUCGCGUCGGCUGUGAAAACUCGGGGCUCAACUCCGAGCUUGCAGUCGAUACGGGCAGGCUAGAGUUCGGCAGGGGAGACUGGAAUUCCUGGUGUAGCGGUGAAAUGCGCAGAUAUCAGGAGGAACACCGGUGGCGAAGGCGGCGCUCUGGACCAAUACUGACACUGAGGAGCGAAAGCCAGGGGAGCAAACGGG